CCCUUAGAUGUCCUGGGCCGCACGCGCGCUACACUGAGUGUCUGAGAUACGAGUCUGCCUGGUCCGGCAAGGUCUAGGUAAUCGCUAAAAGACACAUCAUGCUUGGGAUAGAUUAUUGCAAAUAUUAAUCUUGAACGAGGAAUUCCUAGUAAGCGCAAGUCAACAGCUUGCGUUGAUUACGUCCCUUCCCUUUGUACACACCGCCCGUCGCUACUACUGAUUGGAUGUUUAAGCGAGGUUCUCGAACUGCUAGCGACUUAGCUUCGGUGAGGUCGCAGUGUGGGAAGUGAACCUAGCUUUGGUGUCUAGAGGAAGUAAAAGUCGUAACA
rnacentral:rRNA from 1 species